rnacentral:rRNA from 1 species
AGUGAACGCUGGCGGUAGGCCUAACACAUGCAAGUCGAACGGCAGCACAGUAAGAGCUUGCUCUUACGGGUGGCGAGUGGCGGACGGGUGAGGAAUACAUCGGAAUCUACUUUUUCGUGGGGGAUAACGUAGGGAAACUUACGCUAAUACCGCAUACGACCUACGGGUGAAAGCAGGGGAUCUUCGGACCUUGCGCGAUUGAAUGAGCCGAUGUCGGAUUAGCUAGUUGGCGGGGUAAAGGCCCACCAAGGCGACGAUCCGUAGCUGGUCUGAGAGGAUGAUCGGCCACACUGGAACUGGGACACGGUCCAGACUCCUACGGGAGGCAGCAGUGGGGAAUAUUGGACAAUGGGCGCAAGCCUGAUCCAGCCAUACCGCGUGGGUGAAGAAGGCCUUCGGGUUGUAAAGCCCUCUUGUUGGGAAAGAAAAGCAGCAGGUUAAUACCCCGCUGUUCUGACGGUACCCAAAGAAUAAGCACCGGCUAACUUCGUG